rnacentral:lncRNA from 1 species
GAAGAGGAUAAACCCAAGUUUUGUUUUGUGUGUUAUUUUGUUUGCUUGAGGACAAGUGUUGACGGAUUGGAAAGCGUACCAAAUCGUUCAAGUAAUAUAAUUGGUAAAACCCAAUAACGUUCUUCCCAAGAGACUCGAAAGGGUUUCUCGUUCACGUGAAUUAAAAUAAUAAGACUUNAAAAUAAAAAUAAUUAAUUUGAUUUGAGAACAAAAAUAUUAACAUGCAAUAGAGAUUGAUUCAAUUGACAAAAGGAAAACAAUGGAUGUAUGGAGUUGUUGGGGGUUUACAAAUUCAUCUUAUCUACACUCUCUUAUUUACUCCUCUUGAAUUAUUAGUUUGAUUAAUUAAUUGUCAUGCAACUUUCUUAGCCUACCCUUAACCCGAUCCCUCGGCGAAAAGAGCCUAAUACUAAUUACUGGCUUGCUAUCCCUAGUCUCCCCUAG